rnacentral:rRNA from 2 species
CUGGAGGUAUCAGAAGUGCGAAUGCUGACAUAAGUAACGAUAAAGCGGGUGAAAAGCCCGCUCGCCGGAAGACCAAGGGUUCCUGUCCAACGUUAAUCGGGGCAGGGUGAGUCGACCCCUAAGGCGAGGCCGAAAGGCGUAGUCGAUGGGAAACGGGUUAAUAUUCCCGUACUUGGUGUUACUGCGAAGGGGGGACGGAGAAGGCUAUGUUGGCCGGGCGACGGUUGUCCCGGUUUAAGCGUGUAGGUGUGUGUUCCAGGUAAAUCCGGUUCACUUUAACACUGAGGCGUGAUGACGAGGCACUACGGUGCUGAAGCAACAAAUGCCCUGCUUCCAGGAAAAGCCUCUAAGCAUCAGGUAACAUCAAAUCGUACCCCAAACCGACACAGGUGGUCAGGUAGAGAAUACCAAGGCGCUUGAGAGAACUCGGGUGAAGGAACUAGGCAAAAUGGUGCCGUAACUUCGGGAGAAGGCACGCUGACAUGUAGGUGAAGUGAUUUACUCAUGGAGCUGAAGUCAGUCGAAGAUACCAGCUGGCUGCAACUGUUUAUUAAAAACACAGCACUGUGCAAACACGAAAGUGGACGUAUACGGUGUGACGCCUGCCCGGUGCCGGAAGGUUAAUUGAUG